CUACUUUUACACUAAGUCUCAGAUUUUUCUGAAUUUUCAGAUUCAGAAGCAGACAAAUGUUAGAUUUUUGACGUUAUAAUAACUUUUGUUAAAUGCAAACUUUAUAUACAUUUACAAGUAAAGUUUGCAAAUCAUAUAUUACACGAGCUUAGAACAUAUAUGUGCUCUAAAUGUAUUCGAGAUUAUAAUUAAUAAAGGACCCCGCACAAAACCAAUGGGUUUUGGUUCCCGGUCAAAUCGGCUGAAAUUUUGAUAUGUUUUACUUUAUGACAUCCUGAUCAAAAGUGUCCACGGGCACGAAGUCA